ACAAUCCUCCUCUAUUAACUUCAACUCCAGCCAACAGACUCCCCUUUCACUCACAGCAGCGUCGACUUCCCUGCUGCCAUACUUGAACAAGUUUCAGUUCAUUUGAGACUUCAUUAACAGGAGAGAAAGAGCUGCCCAACUCCCGCCAAAUCCUCAAGGUAAGCUUCGGCUUGAACGUUUCCACCUCCUGCCAUAACCUCCACCUGCAUUUUAAAGCAAUAACACCUUCAUUGUAUUUCAGUUAUUCCCCAUCUCAAUCAUCAAUACCACAACAGCCAACCAACAAGCUAGAUACUCAAGGUAUUUAUGCGACCUCAGUUAUUCAAUCCAGUUUGCAUUCAUACCAUCAAACAUGAUCAGAUUCAAAUGAUAGAAGACCUAUAUAAGCA
rnacentral:lncRNA from 1 species